rnacentral:rRNA from 1 species
GAUAAACGCUGGCGGCGUGCUUAACACAUUCAAGUCGAACGGAGUAUGUUUGGAAGCUUGCUUUUGGACAUACUUAGUGGCGGACGGGUGAGUAAUGCAUGAGCAACCUGCCUUCAAGAGGGGGAUAACACAUGGAAACGUGUGCUAAUACCGCAUAGACGUACGGACGGCAUCGUAUGUACGGGAAAGGAGUAAUCCGCUUGAAGAUGGGCUCAUGUCCGAUUAGGUUGUUGGUGAGGUAACGGCCCACCAAGCCUGCGAUCGGUAGCCGGACUGAGAGGUUGAACGGCCACAUUGGAACUGAGAUACGGUCCAGACUCCUACGGGAGGCAGCAGUGGGGAAUAUUGGGCAAUGGGCGAAAGCCUGACCCAGCGACGCCGCGUGAGGGAAGAAGGUCUUCGGGAUUGUAAACCUUUGUAGACAGGGACGAAGAAAUGACGGUACCUGUAAAGUAAGCCACGGCUAACUACGUG